rnacentral:tRNA from 1 species
UCAUUAGUAGCUCAAUGGUAGAGUGAUCGGCUGUUAACCGAUAGAAUGUUGGUUCGAGUCCAAUCUGGGGAG